CGGCACUAGGGAAUGGGUAGGCUUAAGGCCACCGAAACCCGUAGUAAGCCUGACACUCACUGAUUUAAAUAAAUCUCAUCUCAAAUUAAUAUUAUUAAAGCCACAAAUUAUCUUAAAUGCUACAUUUUACAUAAUUUAAUCGGUCUGCCGGAACAAUUAGGCGAGACCGGAAACUACAGAAAAUUUACAACUGAUACAUCUACUAUUAUUACUGCGGAGAAUCUAAGAUUUUACAACUUAACAUACCAAAUCAAAUACAUCACCCGAUGAUGAAGGAGUCGGGUUACU
rnacentral:lncRNA from 1 species